rnacentral:lncRNA from 1 species
CUGUUUGUUGCUUACAGGCUUCGGAUCGGAUCUGACACGAUUUUGAUUCGGAUUUCUCAUGAAACCUUUCUGAUCUGUGAUCUCCGAUCUGUUCUGUUCUGUUCUGUGUUACUUGAUCUCUAUUAUUCUGUUACUGUUACUGGGAUUGAUUCUGUUACUAUAUGAUAUAUUGUUACUCACCUUAAUAGGUACGUUCAUCUUCAUCUUUUAACCAAAAGAAGAAGAUCGAUCGGUUACUAUAUGGUUUUUUGUUUUUUUUACUGUGUUAAAAGUUUUAGAUCUGAUUUUGUGUUUUUUAUUUUUGUGCAGAUUAUCAAUGAUCGUGAAACUGGAAGAUCCAGAGGUUUUGGAUUUGUGACAUUUGCUGAUGAGAAAUCGAUGAGAGAUGCUAUUGAAGGGAUGAACGGUCAGGAUAUGGAUGGAAGGAACAUUACUGUUAAUGAGGCUCAGAGCCGUGGUAGUGGUGGUGGAGGAGGCCGUGGUGGCGGUGGAUACGGUGGUGGUGGUGGUGGAUAUGGCGGUGGUGGUCGCCGUGAGGGUGGUUACAACAGAAGCAGUGGUGGUGGAGGUGGUUAUGGAGGAGGAGGUGGUGGUGGUUAUGGUGGUGGUAGGGACCGUGGUUAUGGUGAU